rnacentral:rRNA from 1 species
UACAGGAGGGGCAAGCGUUAUUCGGAAUUAUUGGCGUAAAGAGCUCGUAGGCGGUUGUGUCGCGUCGGCCGUCGGAAACCUGGGACUCGAACCCCGGGCGCUGCGGUGGAUACAUGCCGGCUAGAGGAUGGUAGAGGGCGAGUGAAUUCCCGGUGUAGCGGUGAAAUGCGUAGAUAUCAAGCGGAACACCGGUGGCGAAGGCGAGGUCCCUCGGACGAACACCUGACACUGAGGCACGAAAGCUAGGGGAGCAAACAGG